UACGGAGGGGGCUAGCGUUGUUCGGAUUUACUGGGCGUAAAGGGCGCGUAGGCGGCCACCGCAAGUCGACUGUGAAAUCUCCGGGCUUAACCCGGAAAGGUCAGCCGAUACUGCGGGGCUAGAGUGCAGAAGGGGCAACUGGAAUUCUCGGUGUAGCGGUGAAAUGCGUAGAUAUCGAGAGGAACACCUGCGGCGAAGGCGGGUUGCUGGGCUGACACUGACGCUGAGGCGCGAAAGCUAGGGGAGCGAACGGG
rnacentral:rRNA from 1 species